rnacentral:rRNA from 1 species
UACGUAGGGGGCGAGCGUUGUCCGGAUUCAUUGGGCGUAAAGAGCUCGUAGGCGGCUUGGUAAGUCAAAUGUGAAACCUCCAGGCUCAACUUGGAGACGCCACUUGAUACUGCCAUGGCUAGAGUCCGGUAGGGGAUCACGGAAUUCCUGGUGUAGCGGUGAAAUGCGCAGAUAUCAGGAGGAGCACCGGUGGCGAAGGCGGUGGUCUGGGCCGGCACUGACGCUGAGGAGCGAAAGCGUGGGGAGCGAACAGG